GAUUCUUACGGGAGGCAGCAGUGGGGAAUUUUGCACAAUGGGCGAAAGCCUGAUGCAGCAACGCCGCAUGAGGGAUGACGGCCUUUGGGGUGGUAAACCUCUUUUAGUAGGGAAGAAGCGUAAGUGACGGUACCUGCAGAAAAAGCACCGGCUAAAUACGUGCCAGCAGCCGCGGUAAUAUGUAGGGUGCAAGCGUUGUCCGGAAUUAUUGGGCGUAAAGAGCUAGUAGGCGGUCUGUCGCGUCUGCUGUGAAAUCCCGAGGCUCAACCUCGGGCUUGCAGUGGGUACGGGCAGACUAGAGUGCGGUAGGGGAGAUUGGAAUUCCUGGUGUAGCGGUGGAAUGCGCAGAUAUCAGGAGGAACACCGAUGGCGAAGGCAGAUCUCUGGGCCGUAACUGACGCUGAGGAGCGAAAGCGUGGGGAGCGAACAGGAUUAGAUACCCUGGUAGUCCACGCCGUAAACGUUGGGCGCUAGAUGUAGGGACCUUUCCACGGUUUCUGUGUCGUAGCUAACGCAUUAAGCGCCCCGCCUGGGGAGUACGGCCGCAAGGCUAAAACUCAAAGGAAUUGACGGGGGCCCGCACAAGCGGCGGAGCAUGCGGAUUAAUUCGAUGCAACGCGAAGAACCUUACCAAGGCUUGACAUACACCGGAAACGGCCAGAGAUGGUUGCCCCCUUGUGGUCGGUGUACAGGUGGUGCAUUGUUGUCGUCAGCUCGUGUCGUGAGAUGUUGGGUUAAGUCCCGCAACGAGCGCAACCCUCGUUCUAUGUUGCCAGCGCGUUAUGGCGGGGACUCAUAGGAGACUGCCGGGGUCAACUCGGAGGAAGGUGGGGAUGACGUCAAAUCAUCAUGCCCCUUAUGUCUUGGGCUUCACGCAUGCUACAAUGGCCGGUACAAAGGGCUGCGAUACCGUAAGGUGGAGCGAAUCCCAAAAAGCCGGUCUCAGUUCGGAUUGAGGUCUGCAACUCGACCUCAUGAAGUCGGAGUCGCUAGUAAUCGCAGAUCAGCAACGCUGCGGUGAAUACGUUCCCGGGCCUUGUACACACCGCCCGUCAAGUCAUGAAAGUCGGUAACACCCGAAGCCGGUGGCCUAACCC
rnacentral:rRNA from 1 species